AUUGAACGCUGGCGGCAGGCCUAACACAUGCAAGUCGAGCGAGCGGCGGACGGGUGAGUAAUGUCUGGGGAUCUGCCCGAUAGAGGGGGAUAACUACUGGAAACGGUGGCUAAUACCGCAUACCAUCGGAUGUGCCCACAUGGGAUUAGCUAGUAGGUGGGGUAACGGCUCACCUAGGCGACGAUCCCUAGCUGGUCUGAGAGGAUGACCAGCCACACUGUAACUGAGACACGGCCCAGACUCCUACGGGAGGCAGCAGUGGGGAAUAUUGCACAAUGGGCGCAAGCCUGAUGCAGCCAUGCCGCGUGUAUGAAGAAGGCCUUCGGGUUGUAAAGUACUUUCAGUGGGGAGGCGUUACUGACAGAAGAAGCACCGGCUAACUCCGUGCCAGCAGCCGCGGUAAUUC
rnacentral:rRNA from 1 species